GGAUGCAGAGGAAAUAUACACAGUGAAUGUGAUGCGACUGAGAGCAGAACACACCUCCAACAGACUCGAGCGUAUGGAGAACAUUAGAAACUGGACACAUACGCCACAUCCACAGUGGACAUCUUCAGUGAUUUUCAUCGCUUGUGUUUAUUUUCAGAGGAAAUUCAGCUCAGCACCACCUUCAGGAUGGACAGUUUCCAGUGGCACCACCUAGAGGAACGGACCUCGCCACCUAUAUAUACAGGUUUGACAUUCUCAUCCACAAUGAAAUCAUCUUUA
rnacentral:lncRNA from 1 species